UACUCAAUUAACAAGUAUCCUUUAAGCAGACAGGGGCUUACCACUCUUGAGCUUGCUUGACAAAUCCCUGCACUGCCUUACUACGUUAGGAAGUACUCCUGAAGAGCCUGGUUUUUGUUUGCUUCUCAGUCUCUCAGAGAGCACUGCCUAUUCUGGGACAGGAGGAACAAAUAGGGAAUGGAAGGCCCUCUUAAAAUCUGGAGUGAGCAAAUUCUGAUUAUAUUUGUGAACAAACACACAGUUCCUGUUAGGCUCUUGAGAUUUUCUUCCUGGGUAUAGGAUUGUGGAGUCAGAGGAAAAUGAAUAAAAGAAGAAAAUGUGCUUCUGUUUGGUGGCUUGAAGAUCUGGUUGGCAUUUCUUAUAAUCUUGAGCUCUAGUCAGAAUGGGAGGUCAGUUGGU
rnacentral:lncRNA from 1 species